UUAAUGGAUCUUGAGCUGGGUAAAGCAUGAGGCGACCAGUCAUGUUUUUGGAGACACUGUUAGCAAAAGCUCUUUAGCUGUUGCUCAUAUCCUUUGGAAAGGAGGGAGGGGAGUGAGGGCCAACCACAGCAGGGGGAGUCGGGGAGACAGGACGGAUUCCUCUGACCUGAGUGUGACGGGGCCUUUUGAAAGCGGCUCAUAAAUGUACACCCCAGAGUCCCUCUCCGAUUACCGCCUCCUGCUCCACAGGACUUUCGGUGAAUUCCGGUUGUCCCUGCUCACACCUGAAGCUCAAGGCUGUGAAGAAGAAGAGGAGGUAUUGCGAGGUUCCCACUUGCCCCCACUGUCUGCUUUCUCAUUUUCUUUGGUCUUUGCUCAGCCACCAUCUCCUUAGGCUUCUGCCAGUCUCUUCUGUCAGCUGAGGCAGCCCUCCAUCCCGGGUGACAGUGUUGUGAGCAAGGUUCAUGAUCUUGCCCAGGUCUGUGCAAAAGCAGAGAAACUCGGAAAGCAUGGACACCAAAGUUCCUUAACUCAGGUCUGUUAGAACCUCGCCCUUGAAGUGACAUGGUGAGCCCACUUGGUGGGAGUUCAUAGAAGUACAUUUCUGCAAGUCUAUCAAGGAUCCUAUAACCUCAGUUGUUUCUGGGAGAGCCAUCUAAGUACCUAUGGGAGGGGGCAGGAUUGGAAGUGUCAAAUCCUCUGCAGGCUGUGUAGAAACUCCCCUGUCGUGGAGCAGAAGAGGAUGGAGUAUUCCCAAGACCCCUUGUCCAGGAAGUCUUCAGGGUGGAUCCCAAAUCAUUACUUUCAUGCUUCUGAUGCGAUGAAGCCAGGCAUUUUCUCUCGUCUUUUCUUCCCUUCUCUCUCUCUUCCUUUUUUGUCUCUCUUUUGUCUCCCUGUUCCCUUUCUCUGUGAAUGGACCGCAUGUUUGCUCUGGGCUCCAGGGUCGUGCACACCAGUCUAGAACUGAAGAUGCAUUCCACGGUUAUUUAAAACAAUAGUUGAUGCCUUUUCCCAUUAAUUUCCUAGAGUUAUGAUUGAAAUGGCAUCACUGGAUACAGUCUCAAAAUCCUCCCCCCAGCCUAUUUGUGGCCAGUUCUGAAAAUUCUCAGCCUUCUAUAUUUAUGUAACCCACUAUUUCAGUGCGGUGUCAAAGCAACUGGGACAACACCCUCGCUCGGCUGGUGACAGAGGAGACACACCGGCCAGUUUAGAGGGUUUGCAUCAAUAUUUCAAGGACCAUAAGGAGGGUGGCUGCAGGGACUGCCUUGAUAGAAUCUGCAGAGCUUCAUGAGAUCAACAAUCCCUACAAAAACAAAAAGAAACAAAACAAACAAAAAAAUAAAACCCCACUUCUUCUAGCAAAUUCUUCUCUCCCUCUUUCCAUAUUUUCUCCUUUUCCUCCCCUCCCUCUGACAGGAUUCUGAGCUUGCCCCCUGUUUCUUAGCUUGGAAAAAUUUCACCGAUGGAACACGCAGGAGCUAUACACAUGGAGAAGAGUGGAGUUGUCCACUGGACAGACAGUUUUCCAUUAACUGAGGCCGUAAUGGAGAAGACUGAGCAGAUUUCCCAAGCACUGUCUGGACCCUGGACCCUCUUCUCCCAGGCGCUUUGUUUACUGUCAAUGCUUUUUUACACCCUUACCUGAGUAUGUCAUGGUCUCCUUCAUCAAUGAUGCUUUUUCAUUCUUCCCGAAGGGCCACAUUUUCUCUGUAUUUUCCUCCGACCUUAAUUCUCAAUCCUCCCUGUAGAGCAGACUCGAGACUUCAGCUUUGUAGCGUCAGUAUUAUGCGCACCCUUUGAUCUAGGGAUUCUCCUAGAUCUAUUUCUUUAUGCUGGUGUGUGUGUAUUCAGGCAUAACGGUAACCAUCAGCGCCUCAGCGACGAGUGAAACAUUUGGUGAAUAAAUUAUA